rnacentral:rRNA from 1 species
UACGUAGGGUGCAAGCGUUAUCCGGAAUUAUUGGGCGUAAAGAGCUCGUAGGCGGUUUGUCGCGUCUGCUGUGAAAACCGGAGGCUCAACCUCCGGCCUGCAGUGGGUACGGGCAAACUAGAGUGCGGUAGGGGAGAUUGGAAUUCCUGGUGUAGCGGUGGAAUGCGCAGAUAUCAGGAGGAACACCGAUGGCGAAGGCAGAUCUCUAGUACGGUACUGACGCUGAGACGCGAAAGCGUGGGGAGCGAACAGG